UACGUAGGGGGCUAGCGUUGUCCGGAAUUAUUGGGCGUAAAGAGCUCGUAGGUGGUUCGGCAAGUCGGAUGUGAAAUCUCCACGCUUAACGUGGAGGGGCCAUUCGAAACUGCUGUGACUUGAGUCCGGUAGGGGAGUGUGGAAUUCCCGGUGUAGCGGUGAAAUGCGCAGAUAUCGGGAGGAACACCGGUAGCGAAGGCGGCACUCUGGGCCGGUACUGACACUGAGGAGCGAAAGCGUGGGGAGCGAACAGG
rnacentral:rRNA from 1 species